UUUUGACUGUCUGAUGCAAGAUCUAAC
rnacentral:piRNA from 1 species